CUAAAAUUAAUUAUGCAAUUAAAAUAUUAAAUAAGAGAAAGAGUUGGAAGGAGUGCACCGAAUUCGACAAUAAAUUGAGCAAUUGAUUACGCAAAUCCGGUGUUACCACGAACAAACGUCAAGCAAGUAUUUCAAUGUUGAAAACUUGAACUUCAAGAAUCAAGCUUCGAAUGCCGAUUUCCAAAUAAGAAAUUACGAUAGAUUAAAUUCGGGAAAAUAAAGACAUGCAAUUUCGGUGUUACAACGAACAAACAUCAAGCAAGUAUAUUAACUUUGAACUUCAAACUUCGAAUUUCAAUUUUCAUAUGACAAUUUUCGGUAAAUUAAACUCAAGAAAAGAGAGCCAAAUAAAAAUUAUAAAAUUAGAAUAUGAAAUAUUGCAAAUUGAAGGGAAGAGAGAAAUUGAGAAUUUG
rnacentral:lncRNA from 1 species